GGACCUUUCCAUGCCUUAUGACCUUUUUCUUUGAUUAGAUUCUUUUUUCCUUUUUUGGUGAGAAAGAUGUAUGCGCAUGUGUACAGUCUUUAGUUUUUGUGAUGCAUGGAAAUAUGCUCAUCUUGUUUUGCAUAAGCAGAAGAUAUGCUUUAUCAAAGAAAGAAAUGAAAAAGAAAAUAUAAUCAGCAUGGUGCUUAUUUAGUUUUAAAAGCAAAGAAAGUUCUUGUAAUUCGUUUGAACAACUACGGCUAUACAAACCAGCCCUCUUUCAGAUCUGUAAGGGAAAAUCCCACUCUUCUUCUGUGAGUGAAUUCCAUUCAUUUGCUUCUAAGUUCAUUUCGUGAGUGAUUUUUUCUUUUUUAAUCAUCAGCAUGAUUGUGUGUAAUAGCUGAAAUGGAUUUCAUGAUUCUUCAUGUGGAUUUCUA
rnacentral:lncRNA from 1 species